rnacentral:lncRNA from 1 species
CUUUCUGAGUAAUGCUUCUAUACUUUUUUUUUUUUUUCGUUACCGCUCAUUCACGUGUAUUCAACGGCUCAGAUUUAGUUUUUACUUUGUGAGUAAUGCUUCUAUACUUUUUUUUUUUUCGUUACCUUUCAUUCAUGCGUAUUCAACGGCUCAGAUUUAGUUUUUUUAAAAUUAUGACCUGCAAUAGUAAGUCACUUUGCGAGAAGUACCAGGUACCUCAAAAAAGAAUAUUUUUGUCUUUUAAUACAUAAGCAAUUUAGUCAAUUUACCUCUACUAUAAUUUCAAAAUUUUUAUUUUCUCUUUGUUUUCUUUUUCUCUCUUUAUCUUUUCUUAAGAAACUAUGCAUUAAAAUUUCUUUCCAUACCUAUUGCUUUCUAAAUCUUUUUUUAAUAAAAUAAGAAUGAAAUUUAGAUUAUUUUGUGAUUUUAUUUGUUAGUUAAUUUUUUUCUAGUUCGAUCGGAUAAUUUUCAAAUUUUAUUAGAUUGUAGGAUAUUAAUUUUUUUAUUUUUGAUAGUAAUAAUUUGUUGAAAUUUGCGAUGGCUAAUGGAUCAGAAAACGUUAAAUUUUUUUACUUUUGAUAGUAAGAACUUUUAAAUUCCUAUAGUAAUAACCCUAUAUUUCUAAUAAAUUAUCUACAUUAAAUUUU